GCCUGGGUGGCUCAGUGGUUGAGCUUCUGCCUUCGGCUCAGGGUGUACUCCUGGGAUGUGGGAUCAAGUCCCACAUCGGGCU
rnacentral:tRNA from 1 species